rnacentral:rRNA from 1 species
CUGGCUCAGGACGAACGCUGGCGGCGCGCCUAACACAUGCAAGUCGAACGGAGACACUCUGUUCACUGAAUGGUAGAAGGCGGCGGAACCAGAAAGGGAGCGUCGGUUUUCUACUGUUGAGUGAAUGGAGUGUCUUAGUGGCGGACGGGUGAGUAACGCGUGAAU